rnacentral:lncRNA from 1 species
GAGUGUAUUUAGCUCUGAGACGAGAUCGAGGAGCUCAUCAGACGAGGUUGGCUCGACAGAUUCAUUCGACACCGACCUGAAGGAAGGGAAGAUCGGUCUAGGGCCCUGCCGCAGCCGUAACCGCCAAAGAGGGAGGAGCAGCCAGAAGAUCGGCCUCCAAUUGAGAUUAUCAACUCCAUCUCGGAGGGACCCCGGUGGGGAGCAGACUUUCCACGGUUAUAGGGUUCGAAAGAUCUACGAAUGUAUUACCAACAACUUUGCCCUGAAUGAAAAUUCUCUUCAUAUUUGCGC